rnacentral:rRNA from 1 species
UAUUGGUCACCAUUGGGCGCAGCUGAUGCAGCCAUGGCCGGGUGUGUGAGAGCUGGGUGGUAAGCAUUUCAAGUGUGAGGGAAAGUAGGUGUUAGGUUAUAGUUGCAUGAUUUGACGUUAGCGACAGAAGAAGCACUGGGUAACUUCGUGGCCAGCAGCCGCGGUAAUACGGAGGGGGGAGGUUAAUGGGAAUACUGGGGUAAGCGCAUGCAGGUGGUUUGUUAAGUCAGAUGUGAAAGCCCGGGGCUCAACCUGGAAUUGCAUUUGAAACUGGCAGAUAGAGUACGUAGAGGGGGGUAGAAUUUCAGGUGUAGCGGUGAAAUGCGUAGAGAUUGAAGGAAUACCGGUGGCGAAGGCGGCCCCCGGGACAGAUACUGACACUCAGAUGCGAAAGCGUGGGGAGCAAACAGGAUUAGAUACCCUGGUAGUCCACGCCGUAAACGAUGUCUACUUGGAGGUUGUGGCCUUGAGCCGUGGCUUUCGGAGCUAACGCGUUAAGUAGACCGCCUGGGGAGUACGGUCGCAAGAUUAAAACUCAAAUGAAUUGACGGGGGCCCGCACAAGCGGUGGAGCAUGUGGUUUAAUUCGAUGCAACGCGAAGAACCUUACCUACUCUUGACAUCCAGAGAACUUUCCAGAGAUGGAUUGGUGCCUUCGGGAACUCUGAGACAGGUGCUGCAUGGCUGUCGUCAGCUCGUGUUGUGAAAUGUUGGGUUAAGUCCCGCAACGAGCGCAACCCUUAUCCUUGUUUGCCAGCGAGUAAUGUCGGGAACUCCAGGGAGACUGCCGGUGAUAAACCGGAGGAAGGUGGGGACGACGUCAAGUCAUCAUGGCCCUUACGAGUAGGGCUACACACGUGCUACAAUGGCGCAUACAGAGGGCGGCCAACUUGCGAAAGUGAGCGAAUCCCAAAAAGUGCGUCGUAGUCCGGAUUGGAGUCUGCAACUCGACUCCAUGAAGUCGGAAUCGCUAGUAAUCGUGGAUCAGAAUGCCACGGUGAAUACGUUCCCGGGCCUUGUACACACCGCCCGUCACACCAUGGGAGUGGGCUGCAAAAGAAGUAGGUAGAUAACGUAACAAGGUAAGCAUGCUAGAGUGUACUG